rnacentral:rRNA from 1 species
CCUACGGGAGGCAGCAGUGGGGAAUAUUGGACAAUGGGCGAAAGCCUGAUCCAGCAACGCCGCGUGAGGGAUGACGGCCUUCGGGUUGUAAACCUCUUUCAGCAGGGACGAAGCGCAAGUGACGGUACCUGCAGAAGAAGCACCGGCCAACUACGUGCCAGCAGCCGCGGUAAUACGUAGGGUGCGAGCGUUGUCCGGAAUUAUUGGGCGUAAAGGGCUCGUAGGCGGUUUGUCGCGUCGGGAGUGAAAACUCAGGGCUUAACCCUGAGCCUGCUUCCGAUACGGGCAGACUAGAGGUAUGCAGGGGAGAACGGAAUUCCUGGUGUAGCGGUGAAAUGCGCAGAUAUCAGGAGGAACACCGGUGGCGAAGGCGGUUCUCUGGGCAUUACCUGACGCUGAGGAGCGAAAGUGUGGGGAGCGAACAGGAUUAGAUACCCUGGUAGUCCACACCGUAAACGUUGGGCGCUAGGUGUGGGACUCAUUCCACGAGUUCCGUGCCGCNGCUACGCAUAGCGCCCGCCGUCGGGAGGUACGGCCGCGACGGACGUAAACCGUAACGAAAGGAAGUAAGGUACGGCGUUGAGACGUUGCGAACGGACGACGACGAGGGAGGAGG